rnacentral:rRNA from 1 species
GACGAACGCUGGCGGCGUGCUUAACACAUGCAAGUCGAACGGGCCUGUCUUCUUUUUUGGGGGUGGGUUGAGUGGCGAACGGGUGAGUAUCACGUGAGUAACCUGCCCUUCGGUCCUGGAUAACCGCUUGAAAGGGCGGCUAAUACGGGGUGGUCCGGUUGGUCCGCAUGGGCUGGUCGGGAUAGAUUCACUGUUUUUGGUGUUUCGGCGGGGGAUGGGCUCGCGGCCUAUCAGCUUGUUGGUGGGGUGAUGGCCUACCAAGGCGGUGACGGGUAGCCGGCCGGAGGGGGUGGGCGGCCACACUGGGACUGGGAUACGGCCCAGACUCCUGCGGGAGGCAGCAGUGGGGGGUAUUGCACAAUGGGCGGAAGCCUGAUGCAGCGACGUCGCGUGAGGGAUGGAGGCCUUCGGGUUGUGAACCUCUGUUUCCGGUGGUGAAGGCCCUGUCCGUGUGGUGGGGUUGACGGUAGCCGGGGAUGAAGCGCCGGCUAACUACGUG